rnacentral:sRNA from 1 species
CUUGGUCAUUUAGAGGAAGUAAAAGUCGUAACAAGGUCUCCGUAGGUGAACCUGCGGAGGGAUCAUUACAAGUGACCCCGGUCUAACCACCGGGAUGUUCAUAACCCUUUGUUGUCCGACUCUGUUGCCUCCGGGGCGACCCUGCCUUCGGGCGGGGGCUCCGGGUGGACACUUCAAACUCUUGCGUAACUUUGCAGUCUGAGUAAACUUAAUUAAUAAAUUAAAACUUUUAACAACGGAUCUCUUGGUUCUGGCAUCGAUGAAGAACGCAGCGAAAUGCGAUAAGUAAUGUGAAUUGCAGAAUUCAGUGAAUCAUCGAAUCUUUGAACGCACAUUGCGCCCCCUGGUAUUCCGGGGGGCAUGCCUGUUCGAGCGUCAUUUCACCACUCAAGCCUCGCUUGGUAUUGGGCAACGCGGUCCGCCGCGUGCCUCAAAUCGACCGGCUGGGUCUUCUGUCCCCUAAGCGUUGUGGAAACUAUUCGCUAAAGGGUGUUCGGGAGGCUACGCCGUAAAACAACCCCAUUUCUAAGGUUGACCUCGGAUCAGGUAGGGAUACCCGCUGAACUUAAGCAUAUCAAUAAGCGGAGGAAAAGAAACCAACAGGGAUUGCUCUAGUAACGGCGAGUGAAGCAGCAAUAGCUCAAAUUUGAAAUCUGGCGUCUUCGACGUCCGAGUUGUAAUUUGUAGAGGAUGCUUCUGAGUAACCACCGACCUAAGUUCCUUGGAACAGGACGUCAUAGAGGGUGAGAAUCCCGUAUGCGGUCGGAAAGGUGCUCUGUACGUAGCUCCUUCGACGAGUCGAGUUGUUUGGGAAU